rnacentral:rRNA from 1 species
GACGAACGCUGGCGGCGCGCUUAACACAUGCAAGUCGAGCGAGGAAACCUGGACAGAACGCUUCGGGGCGAAUAUAAAGUGGGAUAGCGGCGUACGGGUGAGUAACACGUGAGGAACGUGCCGUAGACAUUGGAAUAUCUCCUCGAACCCGGGAUUUAUACCAAAUGAAAUCAUAAUGGCACAUGUAAUAAGUUGCAAAGAUACGGCGGUCUCAGAUGGACUCGCGUUCCAUUAGCUAGUUGGUAGAGUAAAAGCCUACCAAGGCGACGAUGGGUAGCCGGCCUGAGAGGAUGAACGGCCACACUGGAACUGAGACACGGUCCAAACUCCUACGGGAGGCAGCAGUGGGGAAUAUUGGACAAUGGAGGGAAGCCUGAUGCAGCGACGCCGCGUGAAUGAAGAAGGCCUUAGGGUCGUAAAGUUCUUUUAUCUGGGAAGAUAAUGACGGUACCAGAAGAAAAAGCCCCGGCUAACUCCGUG